AGCCCAAGAUUGAAAGCUGGCGUCUUCGGCGUCCGCAUUGUAAUCUCAAGAAGUGUUUUCCGCUUCGGACCAUGCCUAAGUCCCUUGGAAAAGGGCAUCAUAGAGGGUGAUAAUCCCGUACAUGGCAUGGAGCGCCCGAAGCUUUGUGAUACGCUUUCUAAGAGUCGAGUUGUUUGGGAAUGCAGCUCAAAAUGGGUGGUAAAUGCCAUCUAAGGCUAAAUAUUGGGGAGAGACCGAUAGCGAACAAGUACAGUGAUGGAAAGAUGAAAAGAACUUUGAAAAGAGAGUUAAACAGUACGUGAAAUUGCCAAAAGGGAAGGGUAGGAGGUCAGAGAUGCGUCUUGGGAUUCAGCCUUGCUUUUGCCUGGUGUUUUUCCCAAGCUGCAGGCCAACGUCGGUUUUGGGCACUGGAGAAGGGUAGGAGGAACGUGGCACCUCUCGGGGUGUGUUAUAGCCUCCUACUGGAUACAGCGACCGAGACCGAGGAACGCAGCGUACUCGUAAGAGCGGGCCUUUUGGCACCUUUACGCUUAGGGCGUUGGCAUAAUGGCCCUCUACCACCCGUCUUG
rnacentral:rRNA from 1 species